rfam:Pteropus alecto contig68429, whole genome shotgun sequence.
GGUUCCAUAGUGUAGUGGUUAGCACGUCUGCUUUACAUGCAGAAGGUCCUGGAUCUGUGCCCCAGUGGAGCCU